CACCAUUUUAUUACUUCGGGUAGUACGCUGCAAACACAUGAUUAUGGCUGGCCAGAUGAAGCUCUCAACCUAACAGGUUUGUCUGGGAGUGGACGAGUGGCUGGGACCAUCAGACAUUACUUUGCCAUGAAGAUGGAAGAAGAAUCAUAACAGAGGAGAUUCCUACUGUAUCAAGUAAGGAAGACUGAAAAGGCUCGAGGGCAGAUGUCUGAUAACAGCCCUCAUAAAAGAAGUAGAAGACUAACUAGUGUCAGAAAAGGACAUCGCCUUCCCUCUAAUGGGAAAGAGAGAAGACAGAAUGAAGUUCAGCCAACUACUUCCUCAUCUGUUCUUGCAGUAGGGUCCCAUCAUUAGGCAAAUUGCGUGAAAAAUGCAUCUACUGUUCUGGAACUGGAAACUGUGAUGAAAGCAUUGUGGGAGGCAAUGAGAAGACUAAC
ensembl:lncRNA